CACUAGUGGGUAGCAAUAUUCGCUAGUGGGAGUGGCGCAAGGGUGCGUAACACGUGGGUAAUUUGCCAUGAAGUCUGGAAUAACUUGCUGAAAGGUGAGCUAAUACCGGAUGUGAUUACUGGAAGGCAUCUUCUGGUACUUAAAGUCGGGGACCGCAAGGCCUGACACUUCUUGAUAAGCCCGCGGCCUAUCAGCUAGUUGGUGAGGUAACGGCUCACCAAGGCUAAGACGGGUAGCUGGUCUGAGAGGACGACCAGCCUCACUGGAACUGAGACACGGUCCAGACACCUACGGGUGGCAGCAGUCGAGAAUUUUUCUCAAUGGGGGAAACCCUGAAGGAGCGACGCCGCGUGGGGGAUGAAUGGCUUCGGCCCGUAAACCCCUGUCAUUUGCGAUCAAACCUUACGACCUAACACGUCGUAAGCUGAUAGUAGCGGAAGAGGAAGGGACGGCUAACUCUGUGCCAGCAGCCGCGGUAAUACAGAGGUCCCAAGCGUUGUUCGGAUUCACUGGGCGU
rnacentral:rRNA from 1 species